rnacentral:siRNA from 1 species
AGAAAAACUUUUGAAGCUGUGC